rnacentral:lncRNA from 1 species
AGGAGGCAUCAAUGUUUCCAGGGCAGGGUGAAGAGAAGGGAUUUGGAAGUAUCUGGAAGCUGCACAUUUUCUGCCUAGAAAGGCUGGAGAGCCAAUGCUGUGAUCGCUGUGGAAGCUUUGCCAUUGCUGCUGGGUGACUCAGAAGGAAUCAGCGUAAUUUAUCUGUGUCUUUUCAAAAGACAAGCCUCCUAAAAAAGCAAAGAGCAGAAUGAUUUUCAACAGAUGAACAGCUGAGACCAGCAGGACUCCCUUUUGAACCAAAAUUUGUCUGUGCAGACAGAAUGAACAAACACGAAGAAUUCAAGGCGUGCUGAACUGAUCCUGAGAUAAACACCAACAUUUUUAAUCAAGUGGAAAAUCAGAAAGAAAUAUCUCAUUAAUGUUAUAUAGCAUUGACAAAAAUGUGAAUUUAUGCAGAGAAAUCUCUCUACUUUGACUACUGACUUAAACAGCACAGUGUUCUUUUUCCAGCCUAAUGUUUCAAAUGGGAGAGGAAACCAGAUGUACCAAAACAACAUUAAAAAGAGACAUACCCUUCCUAGGAAAGGUAUUUUUUGUUGCAAAAUACCAUCUUAAAUAAUGAUAUUCCUGUUCUCAGUCUUGUUGACUUUUGCAGAAAUUAAUCAUCAAAGUGAACCUCAGAGGCGACAGUCUUCAUGGAUGUUGGAAAGCAGUGUGCAUCUGCCUACUUGUUUCAAGACUGGAUUGCUCUACCAAGAUUUAUCUCCCUGCUCAACUAAUAAACUACAACAUACUUACCAAAAUGGAAACAAGCAAAACCUCUGGCCUCUGGAGCUGUAGGUAACUUCCUUUUUCAUGUAGAUCUUAGGCCCUGGAAGCUUCUUGGGAAAAAUGCUUUCAUUCUCUUUGUUGGAGGUUUUUGGAGAAAUUACAGAGAUUUGCUCUUUAUCCAAUAGUGCAAGGAAUGGUCACUGACACAGGCACUACAGAACACCCACAAAAUGUCAGCCAUCCUCAGAAACACUGAGUGCAGUCAACGUCACUCUCUAAGCUGACAUGCAUGGCAUUUACCAGCCUUCAUUUGCAAGCACACCCAUCCGUGAAGAAUCAGCUCGGUGGUUCUGGUUCGGCACAGAAGUACACAACCAGACACGUGACAGUGUGUGUCACAACACAGUGAAGAAGCUGCUCUGUGCACUGCACAUACCUAGAGACAUGUGGAAAUCCUGCCCAAAGGGAUUUACUGAGUGCCGGCGUGCUGCCAAGAUCCAGCUAGCCCAGGAGCCUGCAGAAACUUAAACAAGGAUUAUCUUCUGGCAGAAACCAAGCAAGAGCAGAUUCCUCUGACAAAGCAGCAUAGCGUUUGCCGAGGAGCUGCCAUGGGCUUAUUGCUGCCUGACCUGAAGCAUGACCCUGUCCCAUUGGCCCAUGCCCUUUGGGGGCACCUAAGGCUUUGAGUAGCCCAAGUCCCACUUCCAUGAUAGAGCACAUGGGGCAGCCACCGCCCUCCCAGCAGAACAGGUCUGAGCUUUCUCCUCCUCCUACUCUCCAGAAAACUUGCUCUCCAGGCAUGGGAUAUACGUGGGGUGUGGCACGGAUGGGGAGGAAAGCACACCUUAGAUCUAGAGCCCUGCUCAAAAGAUGCUGGUUUUCUUGGGAACCUGUCCUGACACAAAGGUUCAAGUCUCAGCAAUGUAGCUACCAGGAAGAUAUUUUUCUUUAGGUUUAAAGCAGCUCUUUUCAAGCUCAGAUUGACUCACAAAGCAAUGUGACCAGAAAAGUUGCUGACUUUUCAAACAGCAAAAGGUAGAAAAACAGGAAUUUGUUUUAACAAACAGCAGCGCUGCACUGGCUGUUCAUCAGCCUUUGGGGCUGUGACAUUUGCUGCAAGCAUGCAGCAUUCCUGUUGCCACCUGAGGAGUUCCACCAGUGUUCAUUAGACAUUGGUAUCACUGGUGUCACCCAAACCUCCAUACAUAAGGAUACCACACAGCCCAGGCUGACCUCCCCUCAGCCCACCUCCUUUUGCUGUAUGCGUCAUGCUGAAGCAGCCACCUGAGAUCCCCUGUCCCUGCAAAAGCAAAGCAGGACGAAGGCCUGUUAUGAAAACCAGAUUAUUCCCUUCACUAUG